AAUUGAAUUCGUCUUGGAAAAAUCAAGAAGAAUUCGAAACUCUCAAGAGAGAAUAAAAACUCACAAUUUGAUUAAAGGUAGGCUGAAAAUUCGUCCAACACAUAGUAGCCUUAUAUAUAGGCACAACUAAACCUAGUCUAAUAAGGAAACAACUUAAAAACAAGCCCUAAUAGGCCAAACAAGGCCCUUACUUUAAAAAUCCGAAAAUUAACAAGGCCCUAACUAAUGGGCUGCGAAAUAAAGCUAAGUAAAUAAAAAUUGAAGUCUUUCACACUUCGGCCCACUCGCACGUAAUAAGAUUAAUCAAACACGGGCUCAAUUCGCCAACUCCACAAUCUCCAAUUGGCUUCUUGAUCAACUCUUGCUUCCAAACUUCUUCAACUAAGAUCAUCAAGCUCUCCUUGAACUUCUUGGCUCGAGCUCUUGUAACUGGACCAACAGGAACAUGCACCGGGUCUU
rnacentral:lncRNA from 1 species